rnacentral:rRNA from 1 species
UACAGAGGGUGCGAGCGUUAAUCGGAAUUACUGGGCGUAAAGCGUGCGUAGACGGUUUCGUAAGUCGGGUGUGAAAUCCCCGGGCUCAACCUGGGAAUUGCAUUCGAAACUGCGAGGCUAGGGUACGGAAGAGGGAAGCGGAAUUUCUGGUGUAGCGGUGAAAUGCGUAGAUAUCAGAAGGAACAUCAGUGGCGAAAGCGGCUUCCUGGUCCAGUACCGACGUUCAGGCACGAAAGCGUGGGGGAGCAAACAGG